rnacentral:rRNA from 1 species
UACGUAGGGUGCGAGCGUUGUCCGGAAUUACUGGGCGUAAAGAGCUCGUAGGCGGUUUGUCGCGUCGUCCGUGAAAACUUAGGGCUCAACCCCAAGCUUGCGGGCGAUACGGGCAGACUUGAGUACUGCAGGGGAGACUGGAAUUCCUGGUGUAGCGGUGAAAUGCGCAGAUAACAGGAGGAACACCGGUGGCGAAGGCGGGUCUCUGGGCAGUAACUGACGCUGAGGAGCGAAAGCGUGGGUAGCGAACAGG